rnacentral:misc_RNA from 1 species
GAUGAAGAACGUAGCGAAAUGCGAUACGUAAUGUGAAUUGCAGAAUUCAGUGAAUCAUCGAAUCUUUGAACGCACAUUGCGCCUGCCAGCACUCUGGCAGGCAUGCCUGUUCGAGCGUCAUUUCAACCAUCAAGCCCUAGGCUUGCGUUGGAGCCCUGCGGCUGCCGCAGGCCCCUAAAAGCAGUGGCGGGCUCGCUAUCACACCGAGUGCAGUAGAUUACUCUUCGCUCAGGGCGUGAGGCGGGUUCCAGCCGUGAAACCCCCUACUUCUCAAGGUUGACCUCGGAUCAGGUAGGAAUACCCGCUGAACUUAAGCAUAUCAAUAAGCGGAGGA